rnacentral:rRNA from 1 species
CCUACGGGGGGCUGCAGUCGAGGAUCUUCGGCAAUGGGCGCAAGCCUGACCGAGCGACGCCGCGUGUGCGAUGAAGGCCUUCGGGUUGUAAAGCACUGUCGAGGGGGAUAAAGCCGAAAGGUUGAUAGAUCCCUGGAGGAAGCACGGGCUAAGUUCGUGCCAGCAGCCGCGGUAAGACGAACCGUGCGAACGUUAUUCGGAAUCACUGGGCUUAAAGGGCGCGUAGGCGGAGUCUCAAGUCUGUGGUGAAAUCCCCCGGCUUAACCGGGGAACUG